UACGAAGGGAGCUAGCGUUGUUCGGAAUUACUGGGCGUAAAGGGCGUGUAGGCGGUACCAUAAGUCAGAUGUGGAAGCCCUAGGCUUAACCUAGGAGGUGCAUUUGAUACUGUGGAACUAGAGAUCGAGAGAGGAAAGUGGAAUUACGAGUGUAGAGGUGAAAUUCGUAGAUAUUCGUAAGAACACCAGUGGCGAAGGCGACUUUCUGGCUCGAUACUGACGCUAAGGCGCGAAAGCGUGGGGAGCAAACAGG
rnacentral:rRNA from 1 species